UAGAUAGAAAAAUAGAUUCACACCAGAUAACUUUACCAUAUAUAGAUAAUAAGGGUAUCAAUUCAUAUGUUCAUGUCUUAUUUAGUGGAAUAACUAUAAAAUAGAAAUUAGCUUUUGGAGAGAUGGCUGAGUGGUUGAUAGCCCCGGUCUUGAAAACCGAUAUAGUUCGAAACAAAGAACUAUCGAGGGUUCGAAUCCCUCUCUCUCCCUUUGGUCGGCG